rnacentral:misc_RNA from 1 species
UGAAGAACGCAGCAAAAUGCGAUAAGUAAUGUGAAUUGCAGAAUUCAGUGAAUCAUCGAAUCUUUGAACGCACAUUGCGCCCGCUGGUAUUCCGGCGGGCAUGCCUGUUCGAGCGUCAUUUCAACCCUCAAGCCCCCGGGUUUGGUGUUGGGGAUCGGCUCUGCCCUUCUGGGCGGUGCCGCCCCCGAAAUACAUUGGCGGUCUCGCUGCAGCCUCCAUUGCGUAGUAGCUAACACCUCGCAACUGGAACGCGGCGCGGCCAUGCCGUAAAACCCCAACUUCUGAAUGUUGACCUCGGAUCAGGUAGGAAUACCCGCUGAACUUAAGCAUAUCAAUAAGCGGAGGA